CGUAAGUCGGAUGUGAAAACUCGGGGCUCAACCCCGAGACGCCAUCCGAUACUGCGCUGACUUGAAUCCAGUAGGGGAGUGUGGAAUUUGUUGUGUAGCGGUGAAAUGCGCAGAUAUAACAAGGAACACCUAUGGCGAAGGCAGCACUCUGGGCUGGUAUUGACGCUGAGGAGCGAAAGCAUGGGUAGCAAACAGGAUUAGAUACCCUGGUAGUCCAUGCCGUAAACGGUGGGCACUAGGUGUGGGGACUUUCAACGGUUUCCGUGCCGAAGCUAACGCAUUAAGUGCCCCGCCUGGGGUGUACGGCCGCAAGGCUAAAACUCAAAUGAAUUGACGG
rnacentral:rRNA from 1 species